rnacentral:rRNA from 1 species
AACGAACGCUGGCGGCAUGCCUAACACAUGCAAGUCGAACGAGACCUUCGGGUCUAGUGGCGCACGGGUGCGUAACGCGUGGGAACCUGCCCUUAGAUUCGGAAUAACUCCCCGAAAGGGGUGCUAAUACCGGAUAAUGUCUUCGGACCAAAGAUUUAUCGCCUUUGGAUGGGCCCGCGUUGGAUUAGCUAGUUGGUAGGGUAAAGCCUACCAAGGCGACGAUCCAUAGCUGGUCUGAGAGGAUGAUCAGCCACACUGGGACUGAGACACGGCCCAGACUCCUACGGGAGGCAGCAGUGGGGAAUAUUGGACAAUGGGCGAAAGCCUGAUCCAGCAAUGCCGCGUGAGUGAUGAAGGCCUUAGGGUUGUAAAGCUCUUUUACCCGGGAUGAUAAUGACAGUACCGGGAGAAUAAGCUCCGGCUAACUCCGG